CAAUGGAUUAAAUUAUACGUUAUUUGGUUAAAAGGUAGUUAGAUAGUAAUAUAUUUGUUUGUUGAAGUUAUGUAUAUGAGUAAAAUUUGAGUAUGUAAAUAAAUAUCAAAACAAACUAAUGUUAUUGAAUCUACGACAUCCUAGAGGGAAACUGGGAUUAGAUACCCCAUUAUUCUUGGAUAUAAAUUAAUUAAAUUUACCAGAGUACUACGAAUUAAUGAUUUAAAACUCAAAGGGCUUGGCGGUGUUUUAGACCCCUCAGGGGAACCUGUCUCGUGAUCGAUAGUCCGCGUUAAACCUAACUCUUUUUUGUAUUCAGCUUGUAUACCGUCGUCAUCAGGUAACUUUUAAGAAAUAAAGAGUUAGCAGUUAAGUAGAUUAAACUAGUAUGUCAGAUCAAGGUGCAGCUUAUAAGAGAGUGAAGAUGGGUUACAAUUAUAAAUUUAUAUGAUGAAUUAAAGGUUGAAAAACUGCUAUGAAAUAGGACUUGAAAGUAAAUUGAAUUAUAUAAAUAAAUUGAAUUUGGCUCUGAAACGUGCACAUAU
rnacentral:rRNA from 1 species